GUCUUCUAGAAAAAAAAAUUAGAAGUCCGGCCUGCCCGGUGAAAGUUUAAACGGCCGCGGUAGCCUGACCGUGCUAAGGUAGCGUAAUCACUUGCCCUUUAAUUGGGGGCUGGUAUGAAUGGCCAGACAAGAGUUCCACUGUCUCAAAGAGUACACAUAAAAAUUAACCUUUAGGUGCAGAGGCCUAAAUAAAAGUAAAAGACAAGAAGACCCUAUCGAGCUUUAAUUCCGAAAAUACUAUAGUUAUACCCAGAAUUUUUAUUGGGGCAAUACAGGAGCAAGCAAAGCCUCCUAAAAAACAAAGGCAAACCUCCUUCAAACGAAACAUUAAAAACUAUUCACGACACCAGCUACCGUAGGGAUAACAGACUAAUCUCCCUUGAGAGUUCACAUUGACAGGGAGGCUUGGCACCUCGAUGUUGGCUUAAGAUAACCAUUAUAUCUGAAGCAGUCCUCUAAUAUGGUAGGUUUGUUCAACCUUUAAUAUCUUA
rnacentral:rRNA from 1 species